GGUAAGGUGGCCGAGCAGGCGGCGGUUUGUAGCUCCGAAGACAGAGGUUAAGCCCUCUCCUUACCA
rnacentral:tRNA from 1 species